rnacentral:rRNA from 1 species
GCUGUGGAUAGCGGAUAAAGUCCAAUCGAAAUCGGAGAUAGCUGUUUCUCCUCGAAAUAGCGUUAGGGAUAGCGUCGGAUAUGAGGAAUUGAGGUAGGGCACUGAAUGGGCUAGGGGGCGUAUCGCUUACCGAACCUUAUCAAACUCCGAAUGCCAUAUACUAUUAGUCCGGCAGUCAGACUACGAAUGAUAAGAUCCGUGGUCAAAAGGGAAAAAGCCCAGAUCGUCAGCUAAGGUCCCAAAGUGUAAGUUAAGUGGAAAAGGAUGUGGGAUUUCUAAGACAACUAGGAUGUUGGCUUAGAAGCAGCCACUCAUUGAAAGAGUGCGUAAUAGCUCACUAGUCGAGAGAUCCUGCGCCGAAAAUGUCCGGGGCUCAAACUUACCACCGAAGCUACGGGCUCAUCGUAAGAUGAGCGGUAGAGGAGCGUCGUAAUCGGGCUGAAGUCGUACCGUAAGGAGCGGUGGACUGA